CGGGCUUUUGACAUAGAUUGUCAAGAUUGUUUCAAUUAUACACUUGCAGUUAUUGAGGCUGAGAGAGGUGAAGCACCUUGCCUAAGGUCAUACAGCCAGUGUUCGAGCCCAGGUUUGAGACUUAAAUACCUCUCUACUAAAAGGGAAAUGGAGAAAAAGAUGCUGACUGCCAGGCUGGUUUCGGAUCCUUUGUAUUCUGUCAGAUGAGAACACUUGUUUACCUUCCAGGACUGACCUGAGCAUGAGUCGAAUUGCAUGAUCAGACCUGAGAAAGAAGAGAGACUUAAAAGAGAACAGGGUGAGGACUUCUGCAGCAGCAAAAUGACCAAUGAAGAGCUUGUGCCCCACUUUUCACUACAUGGAGGAAU
rnacentral:lncRNA from 1 species